GAAAUGCGAUAAGUAAUGUGAAUUGCAGAAUUCAGUGAAUCAUCGAAUCUUUGAACGCACCUUGCGCCCCUUGGUAUUCCGAGGGGCAUGCCUGUUUGAGUGUCAUGGUAUUCUCAAUACCCUAAAUAUCUUUGCGGAUGAGGGUGUAUUGGACUUGGAGGUUUUUGCAGGCAAUAUUAYUUUGUCGGCUCCUCUUAAAUACAUUAGCAGAGAUAUUACUGCUACUCUCCAGCGUGAUAAUUGUCUACGCUGUUAGUAGUGCGGUAUAUAAACAUCUAUGCUUCUAAUCGUCUUCGGACAAUUCUUUGACAUCUGACCUCAAAUCAGGUAGGACUACCCGCUGAACUUAA
rnacentral:rRNA from 1 species